AUUGAACGCUGGCGGCAUGCCUAACACAUGCAAGUCGAACGAGUGGCGCACGUGUGAGUAAUGUCUGGGAAACUGCCUUAAGGAAGGGGAAAACUACUGGAAACGGUAGCUAAUACCGCAUACCAUCAGAUUUGCCCAGAUGGGAUUAGCUAGUUGGUGGGGUAACGGCUGACCAAGGCGACGAUCCCUAGCUGGUCGGAGAGGAUGACCAGCCACACUGGAACUGAGACACGGUCCAGACUCCUACGGGAGGCAGCAGUGGGGAAUAUUGCGCAAUGGGCGAAAGCCUGAUGCAGCCACGCCGCGUGUAUGAUGAAGGCCUUCGGGUUGUAAAGUACUUUCAGCGGGGAGGCGUUACCUGCAGAAGAAGCACCGGCUAACUCCGUGCCAGCAGCCGCGGUAAUAC
rnacentral:rRNA from 1 species